rnacentral:rRNA from 1 species
UACGUAGGGUGCGAGCGUUAAUCGGAAUUACUGGGCGUAAAGCGUGCGCAGGCGGUUUUGUAAGCCAGAUGUGAAAUCCCCGGGCUUAACCUGGGAAUGGCAUUUGGGACUGCAAGGCUGGAGUGCGGCAGAGGAGACUGGAAUUCCUGGUGUAGCAGUGAAAUGCGUAGAUAUCAGGAGGAAUACCGAUGGCGAAGGCAGGUCUCUGGGCUGACACUGACGCACAUGCACGAAAGCGUGGGGAGCAAACAGG